rnacentral:misc_RNA from 1 species
GCAUAUAUAUGGUAAAAAAAAAAAGGUGACAUUUAUUAUGUACUCUUGAAGCAACUUUGGAAAUCCAAUAAGCAAAUACAUUGGAAUUUAACUUUUUCUAUACUGUCUUCCCUUUGGGUAAAAAAGAUAAUAAGCAUGUACUGUUAGGAGCGAAUAAUGAAAAGAAUCUGGAAUCAGAAGCAAAAACAAGAAGAAUGAUUAUGUAAAACUGUAGAACCCUAGGUUCUUGCACUUCAGUAAACCUAAGUUAUAACCAACAAAAACCAAACACGGCCAUAAAGCUGAAUCCCUAAAUUAGAGAACAAAAAUAUAAAAUUGCGAAAAAUCCAAAAGAAAAAUAUGGCUUGCAAGUUGGUCCUUUCCAGCAAAGGCCUGGAUCACAAUUAGGACUCAAUGUUUUAUUGUAGUGGUGAAGAUGUUCAUAAUGAAAGCACCAG